AUCACUUCUCGGCCUUUUGGCUAAGAUCAAGUGUAGUAUCUGCUCUUAUCAGUUUAAUAUCUGAUAUGUCCUCUAUCUGAGGACAAUAUAUUAAAUGGAUUUUUGGAGCAGGGAGAUGGAAUAGGAGCUUGCUCCGUCCACUCCACACAUCGACCUGGUAUUGCAGUACUUCCAGGGAUGGAGCACCCCUU
ensembl:snRNA U2 U2 spliceosomal RNA